AUGUGGCAACCAUAAGCAUAUAUAUGACAUAUUUAUGUAUGUCACAUAUAUACAUACAUAUGUCAUAUAUAUGCUUAUUGUUGCCACAU
rnacentral:pre_miRNA from 1 species